rnacentral:rRNA from 1 species
AGUGAACGCUGGCGGCAUGCCUAACACAUGCAAGUCGAGCGAAAACACAAUGAGAUUGCUCCUCUACCGUUAGCGGCUGACGGGUGAGUAACACGUACAUCACCUACCUCUAUUUCUGGGAUGACUACGGGAAGCCGGAGCUACUACUGGAUAAUAUAAUGAACGGGUUGAAUCAAUAGUGCAUGGCGGUUUGGGUGUCACUUAUAGAUGAUUCCGCGUCGCAUUAGCUAGUUGGUAAGGUAACGGCCUACCAAGGCUACGAUGCGUAGCCGAUCUGAGAGGGUGAUCGGCCACACUGGAACUGAGACACGGUCCAGACUCCUACGGGAGGCAGCAGUAGGGAAUCUUCGGCAAAGGGCGCAAGCCUGACCGAGCAACGCCGCGUGAGUGAUGAAGGCCUUCGGGUUGUAAAGCUCUUUUAUUGGGAAAGAACAGAUGUAGGAUAAUACCUGGAUGUUUUGACGGUACCUAAUCAGUAAGCAACGGCUAACUACGUG